GACGAACGCUGGCGGCGUGCUUAAAACAUGCAAGUCGAACGGAAAGGCCCCUUUGGGGGUACUCGAGUAGCGCACGGGUGAGUAACACGUGAGUAACCUGCCCUUGCCUUCGGGAUACCUUCAGGAAACUGGGGCUAAUACCGGAUAGGAAUCCUUGCUGCAUGGUGGGGGUUGGAAAGCUUCGGCGGUUUUGGAUGGACUCGCGGCUUAUCAGCUUGAUGGUGGGGUAGUGGCUUACCAAGGCUUUGACGGGUAGCCGGCCUGAGAGGGCGACCGGCCACAGUGGGACUGAGAGACGGCCCAGACUCCGACGGGAGGCAGCAGUGGGGAAUAUUGCACAAGGGGCGGAAGCCGGAUGCAGCAACGCCGCGUGCGGGAUGACGGCCUUCGGGUUGUAAACCGCUUUCAGCAGGGGCGAAGCUUGUGGUGACGGUACCUGCAGAAGAAGCACCGGCUAACUACGUG
rnacentral:rRNA from 1 species